ensembl:lncRNA
GUUCCAGUCACUUCCAUGGCCACAUGUGUAUAAAAUCAAGCACCUAGGUAUUCAGACUGCUUCUCCAAAUAUUUGUGAAAGAACAGGUCACUCAUUCCAGUGUGGUCCUGCUUGUUGCUUCUAACAUAAUAGCAACUAGGAACGACAGCAAUUCUGCCACAAAGUGGUUUGUGGUGUAGUCAGACUCGAGCGUCAAGGAAGGUGGUAGGGAAGCAGACUACGCAGACAUGUCGGGUUUCCAGAGGUGAGCAAUUUAUUUACAAUGAACUCUAUUUAAUGUGCAAAUUCCCCCUAAAGUAACUAAAUUAACAAAACUCAACAGUACAUGGAUCUGGUAACACAGCUCACCUCUCUCUCUCAUCUGAAUCUGGAAGAGACUGGCUUUAAAUAGGGCCAUCAAUUUCCCUUCAAUUAGCCCAGCCAGUACCACUCACUUGAACCGAGGGAUCUAAGACUCUACACUGAUGAUUAAAAAAGACACAAAACCUCCUCACCCUUCUAAUUGGUGCAUUUACGCAACUAAACGGCUCUAUUUACAAAAAAAAAAAAAAAGACCCCUUCAGACCUUGAAAAACACAAAAGGAAGGUUAGACCUG